CUCCUACGGGAGGCAGCAGUGGGGAAUAUUGCACAAUGGGGGAAACCCUGAUGCAGCGACGCCGCGUGGAGGAAGAAGGUCUUCGGAUUGUAAACUCCUGUUGUUGGGGAAGAUAAUGACGGUACCCAACAAGGAAGUGACGGCUAACUACGUGCCAGCAGCCGCGGUAAAACGUAGGUCACAAGCGUUGUCCGGAAUUACUGGGUGUAAAGGGAGCGCAGGCGGGAAGACAAGUUGGAAGUGAAAUCUAUGGGCUCAACCCAUAAACUGCUUUCAAAACUGUUUUUCUUGAGUAGUGCAGAGGUAGGCGGAAUUCCCGGUGUAGCGGUGGAAUGCGUAGAUAUCGGGAGGAACACCAGUGGCGAAGGCGGCCUACUGGGCACCAACUGACGCUGAGGCUCGAAAGUGUGGGUAGCAAACAGGAUUAGAUACCCUGGUAGUCCACACCGUAAACGAUGAUUACUAGGUGUUGGAGGAUUGACCCCUUCAGUGCCGCAGUUAACACAAUAAGUAAUCCACCUGGGGAGUACGACCGCAAGGUUGAAACUCAAAGGAAUUGACGGGGGCCCGCACAAGCAGUGGAGUAUGUGGUUUAAUUCGACGCAACGCGAAGAACCUUACCAAGUCUUGACAUCCCUUGACAGACAUAGAAAUAUGUUUUCUCUUCGGAGCAAGGAGACAGGUGGUGCAUGGUUGUCGUCAGCUCGUGUCGUGAGAUGUUGGGUUAAGUCCCGCAACGAGCGCAACCCUUAUGGUCAGUUACUACGCAAGAGGACUCUGGCCAGACUGCCGUUGACAAAACGGAGGAAGGUGGGGAUGACGUCAAAUCAUCAUGCCCUUUAUGACUUGGGCUACACACGUACUACAAUGGCGUUAAACAAAGAGAAGCAAGACCGCGAGGUGGAGCAAAACUCAGAAACAACGUCCCAGUUCGGACUGCAGGCUGCAACUCGCCUGCACGAAGUCGGAAUUGCUAGUAAUCGUGGAUCAGCAUGCCACGGUGAAUACGUUCCCGGGCCUUGUACACACCGUCA
rnacentral:rRNA from 1 species